rnacentral:lncRNA from 1 species
AUUAUUUAUUAUUCUCUCUGAUGUUAAAAUGUAACAGCUUUGUCUGCUUCCUUUUAUUUUGGAGGAUAAGUGCGAUCAUACUUCCAUUAUCUAAAAGGACUUAUUAAUUAUUGCCGGUGCUGGUGCCGGUGACGGUGCCGGCGCGGUUUCUGGUCCUCGGCAGCAAUGGGCAUGGCACUCAUUUACUUCGUUGUAGCACUGAUUUUCUCGACAGCAGAAGCACAUAUUGUCUCUACACAGGGGUCUUCUUUGGCAUUCGCAAGGUUGGAUCCUGUCGCUCUCAACUGGAUUUAUUGUGUGCUGGGCUGCACGUACGGUAGUUAGUAAUUGUUAUUGUUAGAAAUUUAGAUAUUUUAAUGUUUGAUUUAAUCCAGAAAAAUACAUAUAACAAAGUGGUGGCAUAUAUGUACACGUGUGCAGUUUUAAUUAUCGUUACUCAGAUUAGUGAUAAACAUUGCAGUUGUUGUAGACAUACUAAAAAUGAAAUAUAAUCGUUUAGGAUUAUAUCCAGAGGAGGGACCGGUGCCGAAGCAGCGGCUCCAUUCGCACUAGUCGACAUAGUGCGUUGUUUAAAGUAGCGGACCACAGUCGAUGCAGGAAGAUGUUCGCAGUGUAGUCCCACGAACGUUCACUAGGAAGAAGACGAUCCGCGAAUCCGAGCAGUCACCAGGAAGUAGUCGAUCGCGUCAUCAGGAAGAAGAUGUCCGCCAGGAAGUAGUCGAUCUCGCCAAUCCGAGGAAGCGAGCAGUCGUGGAAGACGCUCCCCAAAAACCUGAUUGCCCGCACACCCAAGCAGGUGUCUCGAUGCAAGGUGUUGAUUCCGGACGGGGAUGGAGGAGAGCAACUGAGAGGACUGAUCUGUUUGUGCGCCUAGGGAAAGGGGAUGCGGGGAUGGAAGAUACUCGACAGAGAGGCAAAGCUCAGGGAAAGGGGAUACAUGGAUGGAAGAUAUAGGCGUCCGACACACUCGCCUCGGCACGGCUCGGCGGCGGCGGCGUGCGCGUGUGGCACCCUUUUUACCUUCCUAAACGUCUCUAUAGAAGCUAUUACAAGCCGCCUAUUUAAGUUGAGUUAACACAGAGUCAAUAAUCAAUCUGGUAUUAAACCGUUUGUAUUAUAGCAUUUAUUACGGGCUCUAGAAUUAAUUAUUAUAAAAUAGUAUAUGGGCCAAAAGCUUAAAUAAUAUUUAACAGUUAUAAGAUGAAUAACGUAUCAAGCGAAGAGGGGCAGUAAAUUUUUACAAGAGGGUAGGGGUCUCUUUAUAUAUGUACUAGUAGAAAAUAUCUUUCAAAAGUCCAGAAAAUUUGUAUAGUUUAACAGAUUUUAUGAUGUGCACACUUACAUUGUGAGAGAACCACGAAACAUCCAAGGAUAAGCAUCACAACUACAGUACCCAUUCUUUCCUGCAUCGUCACAGCAAUCAUGGUAUGGU